GGCACCAAGGAUGGAGCAGUAAACGAGUAGAAAGAGUUUCCCCUCCACCACCCGAAGGCGUAGGGAGGCGACCUUUUUGUCCACCGGGGUAAACUCCAAUGUAGCAGCACUCAGCCGGGGACUUAUGAGUAUCCCCACACCCGCCUGGCGCCUCACACCAUGGGCCACUCCGGAGUAGAAUAGAGUCCACCCCCUAUCCAGGAGUGUGGUUCCAGAGCCGAGGCUGUGCGUAGAGGUAAGCCCCACCAGAUCCAACUGGUACCGCUCCACCUCCCGCACAAGCUCCGGCUCCUUCCCCCCCAGAGAGGUUACGUUCCACGUCCCCAGAGCCAGCAUCUGCCGCCCAGGUCUGUUCCAUCUAGACCCCCCACUGUCACUGCCACCCUUAGCAGCACACCCGACCCCAUCGGUGUCCCCCACAGGUGGUGAGCCCAUGGGGAGUCGAGGUGAUGGUUCCUCAGUUCAUUAAUGUUAAUUCUAACAUUUACCUCACCUAAAAAUGUCUUAUUCAGUUUUCUUUUGGACUGUGUUACUUCUCAUGCAGGGCUAAUCUUGUCAAUCAGACUGGAUUUGUCACAAAGGUCGCAGCGGCGUGGUGGCAUGGCAGGAAGGAGGACCCAAACGUUCCACGCAGAAAAAUACUUACAAAAUUCAAAAAUGCCGAGUGGAAAAACCGCAGACAAGCCGAGGACCAGGACCGCCAAGAACACGUACGACAUUCAAGCAGAACAUACAAUGACGCAACAAAGGACAACCGACACACAUGGCUUUAUUUCACAUUAUUUUUUAUUUUAUUUCUCGUGCACCGUUGUCUGCUGUCAAGUCCGAUUCCUUGUAUGUGUGACAUAUUAUGGCCAUAAAUGUUUCCUGGUCCUCCUGUCAUCAGAGGGGAUGACGGGAGAGGGCAGGAAGUGAAGCUAACCAAGGGACACAAGAGGC
ensembl:lncRNA